rnacentral:rRNA from 1 species
UACGUAGGGUGCGAGCGUUGUCCGGAAUUACUGGGCGUAAAGAGUUCGUAGGCGGUUUGUCGCGUCGUUUGUGAAAACCCGGGGCUCAACUUCGGGCUUGCAGGCGAUACGGGCAGACUUGAGUGUUUCAGGGGAGACUGGAAUUCCUGGUGUAGCGGUGAAAUGCGCAGAUAUCAGGAGGAACACCGGUGGCGAAGGCGGGUCUCUGGACCACAACUGACGCUGAGGCACGAAAGCUAGGGGAGCAAACAGG